AGUAAGUAUCGAAUUAGAGCUUGAUAGGAAGCACCUCAUUUACACUGAGGAUUAUUACUGUGCAAUU
rnacentral:tRNA from 1 species